rnacentral:rRNA from 1 species
CGAUGAAGCAUUCUUCGGAACGUGGAAGAGUGGCGAACGGGUGAGGAACACGUAAGAAUCUGCCCCUCAGUCGGGGACAACCCUUGGAAACGAGGGCUAAUACCCGAUACGCUGUGGAGUGAAAGAAUUUCGCUGAGGGAUGAUCUUGCGUCUGAUUAGCUAGUUGGUGUGGUAAUGGCACACCAAGGCGACGAUCAGUAGCUGGUCUGAGAGGAUGAACAGCCACAUUGGAACUGAGACACGGUCCAAACUCCUACGGGAGGCAGCAGUGGGGAAUUUUCCGCAAUGGACGAAAGUCUGACGGAGCGACGCUGCGUGAAGGAUGACGGCCUGCGGGUUGUAAACUUCUUUUCUCGAAGAAGAAGCUCUGACGGUAUUCGAGGAAUAAGCAUCGGCUAACUCCGUGCCAGCAGCCGCGGUAAGACGGAGGAUGCAAGUGUUAUUCGGAAUGAUUGGGCGUAAAGAGUCUGUACGCUGUAUGGAAAGUCUUUUGUU